AAAAAGGGUGUUUGCAUGCUAAAUGGCACGCAGUCUCUCUGGGGCAUAAUCGCUAGCAAAUGAUUCUGGACACAUAAUUGCUGGAAACGGGGGCUGCCGAUUUCCAUUGCAUUUGGCGCCUCU